UAGCGGGUCUGAGAGGAUGAUCCGCCACACUGGAACUGAGACACGGUCCAGACUCCUACGGGAGGCAGCAGUGGGGAAUUUUGGACAAUGGGGGCAACCCUGAUCCAGCCAUGCCGCGUGAGUGAAGAAGGCCUUCGGGUUGUAAGCUCUUUCGGCCGGGAAGAAAUCGCAUGGGCCAAUACCCUGUGUGGAUGACGGUACCGGAAUAAGAAGCACCGGCUAACUACGUGCCAGCAGCCGCGGUAAUACGUAGGGUGCGAGCGUUAAUCGGAAUUACUGGGCGUAAAGCGUGCGCAGGCGGUUUUGUAAGACAGGCGUGAAAUCCCCGGGCUCAACCUGGGAACUGCGUUUGUGACUGCAAGGCUAGAGUACGGCAGAGGGGGGUGGAAUUCCACGUGUAGCAGUGAAAUGCGUAGAGAUGUGGAGGAACACCAAUGGCGAAGGCAGCCCCCUGGGUCGAUACUGACGCUCAUGCACGAAAGCGUGGGUAGCAAACAGGAUUAGAUACCCUGGUAGUCCACGCCCUAAACUAUGUCAACUAGGUGUUGGGUGGGUAAAACCAUUUAGUACCGUAGCUAACGCGUGAAGUUGACCGCCUGGGGAGUACGGCCGCAAGGUUAAAACUCAAAGGAAUUGACGGGGACCCGCACAAGCGGUGGAUGAUGUGGAUUAAUUCGAUGCAACGCGAAAAACCUUACCUACCCUUGACAUGCCAGGAACUUGCCAGAGAUGGCUUGGUGCCCGAAAGGGAGCCUGGACACAGGUGCUGCAUGGCUGUCGUCAGCUCGUGUCGUGAGAUGUUGGGUUAAGUCCCGCAACGAGCGCAACCCUUGUCGUUAAUUGCCAUCAUUUAGUUGGGCACUUUAGCGAGACUGCCGGUGACAAACCGGAGGAAGGUGGGGAUGACGUCAAGUCCUCAUGGCCCUUAUGGGUAGGGCUUCACACGUCAUACAAUGGUCGGUACAGAGGGUCGCCAAGCCGCGAGGUGGAGCCAAUCCCAGAAAGCCGAUCGUAGCCCGGAUUGCAGGCUGCAACUCGCCUGCAUGAAGUCGGAAUCGCUAGUAAUCGUGGAUCAGCAUGUCACGGUGAAUACGUUCCCGGGUCUUGUACACACCGCCCGUCACACCAUGGGAGCGGGUUCCGCCAGAAGUAGGUAGCCUAACCGCAAGGAGGGCGCUUACCACGGCGG
rnacentral:rRNA from 1 species